rnacentral:rRNA from 1 species
UACAGAGGUCUCUAGCGUUGUUCGGAUUUACUGGGCGUAAAGGGAGCGUAGGCGGUUUGGUGUGUCGAAUGUGAAAUCCCACAACUCAACUGUGGAACGGCAUUCGAAACUACCAGACUAGAGUACUGGAGAGGAGAGCGGAAUUCUUGGUGUAGCGGUGAAAUGCGUAGAUAUCAAGAGGAACACCGGUGGCGAAGGCGGCUCUCUGGACAGAUACUGACGCUGAGGCUCUAAAGUUAGGGGAG